rnacentral:rRNA from 1 species
AGAGUUUGAUCCUGGCUCAGAGCGAACGCUGGCGGCAGGCCUAACACAUGCAAGUCGAACGAACCCUUCGGGGUGAGUGGCGGACGGGUGAGUAACACGUGGGAACGUACCCUUUGGUUCGGAACAACACAGGGAAACUUGUGCUAAUACCGGAUGUGCCCUUCGGGGGAAAGAUUUAUCGCCAUUGGAGCGGCCCGCGUUGGAUUAGCUAGUUGGUGGGGUAAAGGCCCACCAAGGCUCCGAUCCAUAGCUGGUCUGAGAGGAUGAUCAGCCACACUGGGACUGAGACACGGCCCAGACUCCUACGGGAGGCAGCAGUGGGGAAUCUUGCGCAAUGGGCGAAAGCCUGACGCAGCCAUGCCGCGUGAAUGAUGAAGGUCUUAGGAUUGUAAAAUUCUUUCAGCAGGGACGAUAAUGACGGUACCUGCAGAAGAAGCCCCGGCUAACUUCGUGCCAGCAGCCGCGGUAAUACGAAGGGGGCUAGCGUUGCUCGGAUUUACUGGGCGUAAAGGGCGCGUAGGCGGAUCGACAAGUUGGGGGUGAAAUCCCGGGGCUCAACCUCGGAACUGCCUCCAAAACUGCCGGUCUUGAGUUUGGGAGAGGUGUGUGGAACUCCGAGUGUAGAGGUGAAAUUCGUAGAUAUUCGGAAGAACACCAGUGGCGAAGGCGACACACUGGCCCAAUACUGACGCUGAGGCGCGAAAGCGUGGGGAGCAAACAGGAUUAGAUACCCUAGUAGUCC